rnacentral:rRNA from 1 species
UACGGAGGGUGCAAGCGUUGCUCGGAAUUAUUGGGCGUAAAGGGUAGGUAGGUGGUCUCAUUUGUCUGGGGUGAAAGCCUUGAGCUUAACUCAAGAAGUGCCCCAGAAACGGUGAGACUGGAGUCCUGGAGAGGGUCGUGGAAUUCCGGGUGUAGCGGUGAAAUGCGUAGAUAUCCGGAGGAACACCGGUGGCGAAGGCGGCUUCCUGGACCGAUACUGACGCUGAGGCGCGAUAGCGUGGGGAUCAAACAGG